ACUCAAAUGAAUAGACGGGGACCCGCACAACCGGUGGAGCGUGUGGUUCAAUUCGUUACAAAGCGAAAAACCUUACCAGGGUUUGACAUAGUACCGUUUUAUACCUUUGGAAACAUUGGUAGAUCCGCAAGGAUGGUAUUACAGGUGCUGCAUGGCUGUCGUCAGCUCGUGCCGUGAGGUGUUCCCUUAAGUGGGGAAACGAGCGCAACCCCCAUGAAAUGUUACAUAUUCAUUUCAGACUGCUCUUGUUUUACAAGAGAGGAAGGAGGGGUAGAUGUCAAGUCAGCAUGGCCCUUAUGCCCUGGGAUACACACACCCUACAAUGGCGAAAAACAACGUGUCGCAAUACGGUGACGUAAAGCAAAUCACUCAAAUUUCGCCUCAGUUCAGAUUGGAGUCUGCAACCCGACUCCAUGAAGUCGGAAUCGGUAGUAAUCGCGGAUCAGCAGGCCGCGGUGAAUACGUUCUCGGGUCUUGUACACACCGCCCGU
rnacentral:rRNA from 1 species